rnacentral:rRNA from 1 species
GUCGAACGGCAGCACGGACUUCGGUCUGGUGGCGAGUGGCGAACGGGUGAGUAAUAUAUCGGAACAUACCCUAGAGUGGGGGAUAACGUAGCGAAAGUUACGCUAAUACCGCAUACGCACUAAGGUGGAAAGUGGGGGAUCGCAAGACCUCAUGCUCAUGGAGUGGCCGAUAUCUGAUUAGCUAGUUGGUGAGGUAAAGGCUCACCAAGGCGACGAUCAGUAGCUGGUUUGAGAGAACGACCAGCCACACUGGAACUGAGACACGGUCCAGACUCCUACGGGAGGCAGCAGUGGGGAAUUUUGGACAAUGGGCGCAAGCCUGAUCCAGCAAUGCCGCGUGAGUGAAGAAGGCCUUCGGGUUGUAAAGCUCUUUUGUCAGGGAAGAAACGGUAUCUCCUAAUACGGGGUGCUAAUGACGGUACCUGAAGAAUAAGCACCGGCUAACUACGUGCCAGCAGCCGCGGUAAUACGUAGGGUGCAAGCGUUAAUCGGAAUUACUGGGCGUAAAGCGUGCGCAGGCGGUUAUAUAAGUCAGAUGUGAAAUCCCCGGGCUCAACCUGGGAACUGCAUUUGAGACUGUAUGGCUAGAGUGUGUCAGAGGGGGGUAGAAUUCCACGUGUAGCAGUGAAAUGCGUAGAUAUGUGGAGGAAUACCGAUGGCGAAGGCAGCCCCCUGGGAUAACACUGACGCUCAUGCACGA